ACAUGUCACGAAUCCUAAGCGAUGAUUGGCUGACGCUGUUUCCGUACUGUUAGAUACACUACAGGAGCAGCUGCCUGGCACAUUCGUUGCACAAUUUUUGGGAAAAUAUAAACUACAUUUCUGUCAGAAACUGUACACCAGUCCUCAAAAUAAAAGAAGAUGGCGCAGUGGUGCCAGCUCCAGAUGCUGGACUGCAAGUACCUGGAGCAGGUGGACCAGCUGUACGAUGACUCCUUCCCCAUGGACAUCCGACAGUACCUGAGCAAGUGGAUCGAGAGCAUCGACUGGGACACGGUGGCGGUUCAGGACUCUCUGGCCACUGUUCGGUUCCACGACCUCCUGGCUCAGCUGGACGACCAACACAGCCGCUUCGCCCUGGAGAACAACUUCCUGCUGCAGCACAACAUCCGCAAGAUCAAGAGGAACCUGCAGGAUCGGUUCCAGGAAGAUCCAGUCCACAUGGCCAUGAUCAUCUCCAGAAACCUAAAGGAGGAGCAGAGGAUCCUGGCCACCGCGAAAAGUGCCGAGCAGGAGGGUGAGGGGAUGGUGUCGGCCAUGGUGGUGGAGAAACAGAAGCUGGACAUCAAAGUGAAGGAGAUGAAAGACAGAGUCCAGAUGGCAGAUCAGAACAUUAAGAACCUGGAAGAUCUGCAGGACGAGUACGACUUUAAAAUCAACACACUGAAGAACAGAGAGAACGAAAUGAACGGCAUGACACCGAAGGAGCUGGAGAAGGAGAAGAUGACGGUUGGGAGGAUGGGCUUUGAACUGAAAGCCAAACGACAGGACGUGGUGAUCCAGCUCACCGACCUCCUGAACGUCACUCAGGCGCUGCUGUCGGACCUGAUCUCCGAGGAGCUGCCGGAGUGGAAGCAGCGGCAGCAGAUCGCCUGUAUCGGCGGCCCGCCCAACGCCUGCGUGGACCAGCUGCAGAACUGGUUCACAGCAGUAGCGGAGAGUCUGCAGCAGGUCCGUCAGCACCUGAAGAAGCUGCAGGAGCUGGAGCAGAAGUUCACCUACGACAGCGACCCCAUCACACAGAAAAAAGCUUUCCUGGAGGGCCGAGCUCUGGAGCUCCUCAAGAACCUCCUCUCCAACUCCCUGGUUGUAGAGAGGCAGCCCUGCAUGCCCACCCACCCGCAGAGACCCCUGGUGCUGAAAACAGGCGUCCAGUUCACCUUGAAACUCCGGUUCCUGGUGAAGCUGCAGGAGUUUAACUACCAGCUCAAAGUCAAGGCUGUGUUUGAUAAAGACGUGACAGAGAAGAAAGGGUUUCGGAAGUUCAAUGUUUUGGGGACAAACACCAAAGUUAUGAACAUGGAGGAGUCGAACGGCAGCCUGGCAGCAGAGUUCAGACAUUUGCAACUGAAAGAGCAGAAAGUCGCCGGCAACCGAACAAACGAGGGUCCCCUGAUCGUCACAGAGGAGCUUCACUCGCUCAGCUUCGAGUCCGAGCUGCAGCUCAACCAGUCGGGACUCGACAUCAAACUGGAGGCCAUGUCUCUGCCCGUUGUGGUCAUCUCUAAUGUCUGUCAGCUGCCCAGCGGCUGGGCCUCCAUCCUCUGGUACAACAUGCUUACCACUGAGCCCAAGAAUCUGAAGUUCUUCCUCACCCCUCCACCUGCGAAGUGGUCUCAGCUGUCUGAGGUCCUCAGCUGGCAGUUCUCCUCCGUCACCAAGCGAGGCCUGAACCAGGAGCAGCUCAACAUGCUGGCUGACAAACUGCUCGGAGCCAAAGCCCAGAGGAACCCAGAGGGACAAAUCCCCUGGACCAAGUUCUGCAAGCAGAGUGCCAAUGAGAAAGCUUUUCCCUUCUGGUUGUGGAUCGAAGGAAUCCUGGAUGUGAUUAAGAGACACCUGCUUUCCCUCUGGAACGACGGCUCCAUCAUGGGCUUCAUCAGUAAGGAGCGGGAGAAGGCUCUGCUGAGUGACAAGUGUCCUGGUACCUUCCUGCUCAGGUUCAGUGAGAGCAGCAGAGAGGGAGCUAUCACCUUCACCUGGAUCGAACACGACGUCCACGACAAGCCGGUCUUCCACUCUGUGGAGCCGUACACAAAGAAGGAGCUGUCCGCCGUCUCUCUGCCCGACAUCAUCCGCACCUACAAGGUGAUGGCCGCCGAGAACAUCCCCGAGAACCCGCUCCGCUUCCUCUACCCCAACAUCCCAAAGGACAAGGCCUUCGGGAAGUACUACCCCAAACCCUCAGAGACUGCAGAGCCCAUGGACGUGGAGAACCCAGAGAGGACCGGCUACAUGAAGACGGAGCUCAUAUCUGUCUCCGAAGUACACCCGUCCAGACUGCAGGACAACAUUCUGCCGAUGUCCCCGGACGACUACAAGGCUUUGGAGCAGUACGUCAGUCCCAGAGACAUUGAUGCUGUGCGCACUAAAUACCAGCGGCGGUGGUGAGGGAGGAGCUGGGAGCUUUUCUCAGGACGGCCAACAAUCUGAUUUCUGGAUUUGAAGAUCUUGACGUUCAGAUGAGUGCAGAGUAUCCGGACCAAAACUGAGGACGACAAGAGUUUCUUCACUCCAUCCACGUCACAUCGUACUUUAUUUCAGAGCUUUUGUUUCUUUAGAGUUCAUAAGAUCUCGGUUGAUCAUGUAAAAUGCUCUUAGUGGUGUUGAAACUCUCCUUUUAACCUUGGAUAAAGGUCAGUACAAUAACCACUCACCAAUCACCUUGCAAGAACAUUGGAGAGACUCAAGCUCCAUUUGGACUGGAUUAACAUUACAGGGGAAGGUGGGGUAUCAAAUAUUUAUUGUAUAUUCACUGAAAAUACAGGAUGUUUGUCUGUAAUAGACAUUCAGCAGGAAAAAGAUAAAAUGGAGAGACAAAAGCAUCCACAGGGGGACGCCGCAGAGUUGAAGGGGAGGCUAAGAUACUGCGCGGGUCAGUCAGAAAUCGCACUGCUUCAUCAGAGGCAUAACUCUGUCAGGUGUGAACACACAGACUCGACACACUGCUAUCAUUCAGUGCGACUUACGCUUCCCGAAGAUGAUAUUAUCUCUGAUGUCCGUCCAGAGUAACCGUCCAUAAAUCCGCUCAGAACUUGCCUGAGAAUCAUCAAAUUUUUAAGUUUUCUUCAGCAUCAAAGUAAUCCAGUGAUAGUUGUCUGUACAUCCAUGGGUUCACUGCAAACAGGAACUGCUAACAGCUCAUUCGGCAUUCUUUUAAUUGAGCUAGUUUGCCAAAUUGUAAACAAAUAUAGGCUAAAAAAAAAAAAAAAAACAGGCCUCAUAAGAGAAUACCUGUACCUACCUGUAGCUGACAUUUCAGCCCAUUUGAGGAGCUUUAAAAUAUCGCACUGCGCUGCUAAAAUAAAAGGAAUAAAUAAAUAGAGUAGAAGGACACGCAGAGAUCCACUUUAAAAUACAAGUUCACAGAAAAACAGCAGAUAAUUAUUUCUGAGGUGGAGAGAAAAACGACCCACAUACUGUACGUGCUCCAGACAGACCUCCCCAAGAGAAACAAAUCCAGUCCGAAUGGGGCUUAAAUCAGGUUAAGACUGUCACUUUGCUUGUGUACAUAUAUCUUUUUUUAUUAAAUGUGAACUAUAAACGCCCCAGUAAUCCCAACUGUAAAACAGUUAAUGUGAUUCAGCAUGCCUUCUUCUUUGUAGCAGAAAUACUAUGAAAACACACACGAAUUCAUAGAAAACUGUAUUAAAAGUAUGAUUUUUUUUAUGUUUCUGGAAAAAUGUAAACAUCUUUGCAUUUCCUGUAGCCUGCCUGAGCUUUUUAUUUAAGUAACAGAAUCAUUAGCUGUUCAUAAAGGUACAGUGGGACAGCUAAGAGCAAUUAAACCACUUGAUGACUUGA